rnacentral:rRNA from 1 species
AUGGUGUUGAGAGACUGCGAAGUGAUAUUAUCUCUACCCGUCUACAAUAAGGCCAUAAAAUCCAAAAAAAAUUCUACAGAUGGAUCACUAAGGAAUCUUGUUUCAGCCAAGUCCACUAGACCUCUGCUAUUCCAGAAUAUUUGUUUCAUAUUUCAUCAUGGAAUUUUUUUUCUUUUGUUUAACUCUCGCACUCCUACACACCGCCAAUGUAGGAUAAACCUUUCUCUUCCAGGGUUUUUUUGGCUUAUCCUUCAUCUCCUCAGUUUGAUGGCCGGUGAUAGGAGUGGUAAUUGGCCGCAGAGGGGCCACAUACCCCUCUAG